UUUAUCCUCAUUUGUAAGUUACUUUGGAUAAAAGUGUCUGCUAAAUGUAUAAUU
rfam:Danio rerio chromosome 16, GRCz11 reference primary assembly.